rnacentral:rRNA from 1 species
CUGCUUCGGUGGGUGAGUAAAGUGGCGCACGGGUGAGUAACGCGUGAGUAACCUACCCUUGCGACUGGGAUAACGUCGGGAAACUGGCGCUAAUACCGGAUAAUGUUCAGGGUCGCAUGGCCUCUGAACCAAAGGGGGCCUCUCCUUAGGAAGCUUCCGCGCAGGGAUGGGCUCGCGUCCCAUUAGCUAGUUGGUAGGGUAACGGCCUACCAAGGCGACGAUGGGUAGCCGGCCUGAGAGGGUGUCCGGCCACACUGGAACUGAAACACGGUCCAGACUCCUACGGGAGGCAGCAGUGAGGAAUCUUGCGCAAUGGGGGAAACCCUGACGCAGCGACGCCGCGUGGGUGAAGAAGCUCUUCGGAGUGUAAAACCCUGUCAGGUGGGAAGAAAGCGUAAUGGAAGACAACGCCGUUACGUCUGACGGUACCACCAGAGGAAGCCCCGGCUAACUCCGUGCCAGCAGCCGCGG